rnacentral:misc_RNA from 1 species
AAAGUCGUAACAAGGUUUCCGUAGGUGAACCUGCGGAAGGAUCAUUAUUGAAUUCUUCGAUAUGGGGAUGAGAGGAGGUUCUGGUCAAAUUGGCUGGGCUCUUCUUUUUCUUUCCCACUAUCACAAUAUCCGUGAACUUGUUAAAUUGAAAAUGACUAUACUGCUUGGUGGGAACUUUCUUCGGGAAGCCCGCCAUGAGUAUAGAAAAUUUUAUCAAACUUCAUUUAUAUUUUAUUUGUCUUAUAAACCAAAAAAAACCAAAAGUUAAAACUUUCAACAACGGAUCUCUUGGUUCUC